rnacentral:lncRNA from 1 species
UCUUGUUAAAAUUGCAAGUAAAAAUAAGCACAUGCGGUAUUAGACCUAUAAGUUUGAGGAAAAAAAACUGUUACUAAACAAUCUAUUUUAGACCUAUAUAUAAGUUUAUAAGCUAUAAGCUAAAAAAUUAACUUUGAAAAAAAGGCUCAAUAAUAACAAAGCAGUGAGAGAGGGAAGGAAUAGUGACGAUACAGAGAAGGAAGUGAAGCCCCGUGAUGCCGGCGGCGAUGCAUUCCAUUACUCCACCGCUGCCUCUACUUCAACUGCAUUUCUCAACAGUGAACAGAGAAUU